UCUCCGUAGGUGAACCUGCGGAGGGAUCAUUAACACGUUCCAAACCCAAACUACUAUCAACCCAACUGUGAUGCUUUGUAUCUGCCGACGGUCGCCUCGAGCUCGACGGUGCGAGCUGAGAUCCAGGAUGAAGGUGAAGGGGAAGAGAGCGAUUCGCUCUCUCCUUUUCAUACGGGUCGAGUCCGCUCUAUGGUGGCCUUCCCUCUGUCUCUCUCUCCCAGUGUGUGAGGUGAGAGGCAGAGGAGCUGCCAGCCGUCCUCGGGGAUGACUUGGCCCAACCUCUAUACCAACAGCCGCGAUUCAUCGGCUGCUGCACGUAUAUCCACACGCCACUUUUUUCUGUUCAAACUCAUGUGCGGGUAUACACAUGCCUGCCACAGGGUGAGGAUGUGAAAAAAUGACUCUAACCUUUUUCAUGACCUCCGCCUCUGUGUGGUGGUCUCUCUCACUGACCUCUGUCUCGUAUAUGUCAGUGUAGUCUAUGAAACUGAGUACAACUCUUAGCAAUGGAUAUCUUGGUUCUC
rnacentral:misc_RNA from 1 species